rnacentral:piRNA from 1 species
GAGCCUUCCACCGCAACAGUCUGGACAUC